rnacentral:rRNA from 1 species
UACGGGGGAUGCAAGCGUUAUCCGGAUUUAUUGGGUUUAAAGGGUGCGUAGGCUGUGAGGUAAGUCAGCGGUGAAAUGCCCCCGCUCAACGGGGUGAAGUGCCAUUGAUACUGCCUUGCUGGAAUGCGGAUGCCGUGGGAGGAAUGUGUGGUGUAGCGGUGAAAUGCAUAGAUAUCACACAGAACACCGAUUGCGAAGGCAGCCUGCCGCAGCGUUACUGACGCUGAAGCUCGAAAGCGCGGGUAUCGAACAGG